rnacentral:lncRNA from 1 species
GACAGUGCUAGUGUGCUGAUACUCGGAAGGAGUUACUGAUUUAGAGUAGGAAAUCAGCAGAAAUUGUUAUUAGAUUAAGGUGAGAAAGUAGGUCAAGGCCUUAGGUACUUAGAAAUUGCAACUUCUCAGCAAGGAAGACGUGGCAAAGCUGGGCCAUUGCCUAAGUUCUCAGGACCUUGUAUGGCGAUGACUCUCAGUUCACACUUCACCAAUCUGUUGAAUGAACAAGCUGAGAUGAAGGAUGCGUUGUGCCAGGAGAGACUAUUGGUUUAGUGUGACCCACAGUGAACUUGGAGGCCCAGUUUCUCUGCUUUCCACCUUCAGACCCAGAUGCAGAACUCUCAGUUGCUUCUCCAGCACCACACCUGCCAUGCCUGCCACUAUGUUCUCCUCCUUGAUGAUAAUGGACUAAACCUCUGAAACUUUCCAUGAGUAUGAGAAAGAAACUGAAGAGGGCAUGGAGCAGGGAGGUUCCUAGAGAAGACAGAAUGCUCCUUCACUUCUCCUGAGCUUACAGCAGUACUCUCUCCUGGUGUAUUUCCUCUCAAUUUUAAGAGAAAGAAAACUUCAAAUCCACAUGGGCAAAGAGAACAGAGGAUCAAUGGCUGGCAAAAGAUUCCAAGAAGCUUUUGAAUGGUAGAAAGUUGAUGCUGGAAUAUAAAACAAAGCCAUGUUCAGAUCCCAGAUUACUUAACUGCCUUGCUGCCACUAGAAUCAAUGUGUCUGAUUGUUUUCUUGGGAGAAUGAAGAAGGUAUGGCUAAUAAAACACAAGGUAAAUGCCAAAUAACUUGCUACUCAUCAGUAACAUCCAUACACUGCAGAGAAAACUGUUCAAACUAGACUUCUCUAGGAUUCUACAAUCAAUCAUUGCUGACUACCUGUCUUCUCUCUCCUUAGUUAUUAAUAACCUAUGUUCCUUUGGUCUACUCUCUUAGCCAUCCUUCCCUUCCCCUAAGACCCACCUAUUUGAGCAUACUUGCCAAUAAGGACAGUUUUCUCUCAGU